CCCCCCGUCACCCCCCCGUGUCACCCAGCCGCCCCGCCCCCCAGGUGUGUAAGUACGACUUUGUGGAGGUGCGCAGCGGGCUGACGGCCGACUCCAAGCUGCACGGGAAGUUCUGCGGCGCGGCGCGGCCGGCCGUCAUCACGUCGCAGUACAACAACAUGCGCAUCGAGUUCAAGUCCGACAACACCGUGUCCAAGAAGGGCUUCAAGGCGCACUUCUUCUCAGAUAAAGACGAAUGCUCGGCGAACAACGGCGGCUGCCAGCACGACUGCGUCAACUCGUGGGGCAGCUACGAGUGCCGCUGCCGCAGCGGCUUCGUGCUGCACGACAACAUGCACGACUGCAAGGAGGCCGGCUGCGAGCACAACGUGACGGCGGCGCGGGGCGCCAUCCGCAGCCCCAACUGGCCGAGCCGCUACCCCAGCAGGAAGGAGUGCGAGUGGAGCAUCGCCACGGCCGCGGGGCACCGCGUGCGCCUGGUACGGAGCGGGGCGCCUGCGCGGGGCCGGGCGGGGCAUUGCGGGGCACUGCGGGGCACUGCGGGGCACUGCGGGGCAUUGCGGGGCAUUGCGGGGCAUUGCGGGGCACUGCGGGGCAUUGCGGGGCACUGCGGGGCACUGCGGGGCAUUGCGGGGCACUGCGGGGCAUUGCGGGGCACUGCAUGGCAGCACAUAGCACUGCAUGGCAUUGCGGGGCACUGCGGGGCACUGCAUGGCAUUGCGGGGCAUUGCAGGGCAGCAUAUGGCAUUGCAUGGUGGUGCAUGGCAUUGCAUGGCAGUACAUGGCAGUACAUGGCAUUGCAUGGCAGUACAUGGCAUUACAUGGCAGUGCAUGGCAGUACAUAGCACUGCAUGGCAUUGCAUGGCAUUACAUGGCAGUGUAUGGCAGUACAUGGCAUUGCAUGGCAUUACAUGGCAGUACAUGGCUUUGCAUGGCAGUGCAUGGCAGUAUAUGGCUUUGCAUGGCAUUGCAUGGCUUUGCAUGGCAGUGCAUGGCAUUGCAUGGCGGUGCAUGGCACUGCAUGGCAUUGCGUUGCAUUGCAUGGCAUUGCAUGGCAGUGCAUGGUGGUGCAUGGCAUUGCAUGGCAUUGCAUGGCAUUAUAUGGCAUUGCAUGGCAUUACAUGGCACUGCAUUGCACUGUGUGGCACUGCAUGACCCUGCGUGGCACUGCAUGGCCUGACAUGGCACUGCAUGGCACUGCAUGGCACCGGACGUGUCACACCCAUGGCACUGCAUGGCACUGCCUGUGUGCCAUCCUAUGGCACUGCAUGUCAUGUGUGUCACAUCCACGGCACUGCAUGGCACCACAUGGCUGUGUGGCAUUACGUGGUGUCGUGUGGCACCACGUGUCCCCACGUGUGGCCCAUCCCACGUCCCCUUGUCCCACCCCAUAACCCCACAUGUCCCCAUCCCGUGUCCCAUCCCAUAGCCCCACAUGUCCCACCCCCUGUCCCAUCCUGUGUCCCAUCCCAUAAGUCCACAUGUCCCCACACGUCCCAUCCCAUAACCCCACAUGUCCCCAUCCCACAUCCCAUCCCACGUCCCCGCAUGUCCCCAUCUUGUGUCCCAUCCCAU
ensembl:lncRNA